CUGGCGGCGUGGCUAAUACAUGCAAGUAGAACGCUGAAGGAGGAGCUUGCUCCUCUGGAUGAGUUGCGAACGGGUGAGUAACGCGUAGUAACCUUCCUGGUAGCGGGGGAUAACUAUUGGAAACGAUAGCUAAUACCGCAUAAGAGUGGAUGUUGCAUGACAUUUGCUUAAAAGGUGCACUUGCAUCACUAGCAGAUUGGACCUGCGUUGUAUUAGCUAGUUGGUGGGGUAACGGCUCACCAAGGCGACGAUACAUAGCCGACCUGAGAGGGUGAUCGGCCACACUGGGACUGAGACACGCCCAGACUCCUACGGGAGGCAGCAGUAGGGAAUCUUCGGCAAUGGACGGAAGUCUGACCGAGCAACGCCGCGUGAGUGAAGAAGGUUUUCGGAUCGUAAAGCUCUGUUGUAAGAGAAGAGCGAGUGUGAGAGUGGAAAGUUCACACUUUGACGGUAUCUUACCAGAAAGGGACGGCUAACUACGUGCCAGCAGCCGCGGUAAUACGUAGGUCCCGAGCGUUGUCCGGAUUUAUUGGGCGUAAAGCGAGCGCAGGCGGUUAGAUAAGUCUGAAGUUAAAGGCUGUGGCUUAACCAUAGUAGGCUUUGGAAACUGUUUAACUUGAGUGCAAGAGGGGAGAGUGGAAUUCCAUGUGUAGCGGUGAAAUGCGUAGAUAUAUGGAGGAACACCGGUGGCGAAAGCCGCUCUCUGGCUUGUAACUGACGCUGAGGCUCGAAAGCGUGGGAGCAAACAGGAUUAGAUACCCUGGUAGUCCACGCUGUAAACGAUGAGUGCUAGGUGUUAGACCCUUUCCGGGGUUUAGUGCCGUAGCUAACGCAUUAAGCACUCCGCCUGGGGCGUACGACCGCAAGGUUGAAACUCAAAGGAAUUGACGGCCGCCCGCACAAGCGGUGGAGCAUGUGGUUUAAUUCGAAGCAACGCGAAGAACCUUACCAGGUCUUGACAUCCCUCUGACCGCUCUAGAGAUAGAGUUUUCUUCGGGACAGAGGUGACAGGUGGUGCAUGGUUGUCGUCAGCUCGUGUCGUAAGAUGUUGGGUUAAGUCCCGCAACGAGCGCAACCCCUAUUGUUAGUUGCCAUCAUUCAGUUGGGCACUCUAGCGAGACUGCCGGUAAUAAACCGGAGGAAGGUGGGGAUGACGUCAAAUCAUCAUGCCCCUUAUGACCUGGGCUACACACGGCUACAAUGGCUGGUACAACGAGUCGCAAGCCGGUGACGGCAAGCUAAUCUCUUAAAGCCAGUCUAAGUUCGGAUUGUAGGCUGCAACUCGCCUACAUGAAGUCGGAAUCGCUAGUAAUCGCGGAUCAGCACGCCGCGGUGAAUACGUUCCCGGGCCUUGUACACACCGCCCGUCACACCACGAGAGUUUGUUACAGCCGAAGUCGGUGAGGUAACCGUAAGCCACCCGCCUAAGGUGCGAUAG
rnacentral:rRNA from 1 species